AAGAGAGCAUUUCUAUCUUAAUUUUGGGUUAAGCUAUUAUAUAGAGAUUUAAAUAUCUAAAAUUAGAAAGGAGGAUGAUCAAAAUGGAUAAGGAACCCAUAAUCUGUUCUUGUAGAUCUAUGAUUUUUUUUAGAAAUUUCACAAAAAAAUAAAUUAGAAAAUAUGAAAGAAAAAUUUCAAGGGGCAUUUUGAUGAAUCUUCAAAAAUAUCUUAGGUCAGAACAUUUUGAUGUCACUUGUAAUAACUCUCUUUUUUCUGUCAAAAAUACCUCCUUCCCAAAUCAAACUUGCAUGCAUUGUUGAGGGAAGUUUUAAUUUCUAGAGAAUUUUAAAAAAAAAAACAAAUUUGGAACUUCCAUCCAAAACACUGUUCAUUUUUUUGUUCAUUCUUCUUUUUCUCUUUAUUUUUCUUUUUGUUCAUUUUUUUCCUCUCUAUCACUGUUCACCUUUCCCGCCAUUCACUGUCUAAACCACCAUCAACAAGCUCACACAACCCCCUUUCUUAUCCCUUCUCUCAACUCUAAAUCCCUCAUCACCAUUGUCAUAUUUGACACAACCCUUAGCCACUCAAAACCCCAAUCACUGUCUAAUACUACCAUCUCCCACACAACAUCUCCUUCAUCAUCCAACACUUUCACCGUCACCAUUGCUGCUUCCACCUCCACCUCAUUAGCCAUUGAACCUAAAAGCACCCACUACUUUAAUCACCAUACUAAAAGACCAGAACAAACCAUAAACAAUGAAUGAUACAAAAAAAAACAACAACACAAAAGAUCCAACCAAAAUAUAAAAAACACAAGUAAAAAAAAAAAAAGAGUUGCUCCUUACUGUUUUGAAGAAGCUAAUCCAAACCUGCAAACAAAGAAGAGAAAAACCAAUAUUCAUAAAAGGAGGAAAAGAGAUUGAAAAAAAAAUAAAGAGAAGGGGACUUAUCUCUAUUUGAAUUUGGGUUUUAAGCUCUGGAAUUCCAUUAGACAAUUUGAACGGUGACAGGAUCUAUUCGGUCAAGGAGAACCAUAUAUUAAGUACCCUAGGCGAUCUAACGACGAAGGUAGUAGAUCGGGACAAGAUAAGUUUGAAUCUGACUCAAUAUUAUCGUGGUUUUCUUGCGGGUUUCAAGAAUAUUUGAAUUUUUAAAUCGAAAGAGAAAGGAAAGAUGGACUACUUGGUGAUUUUUCUGACUAAUGGUGCUACCAGAAUGUGGCAGUUAAGAAAGAGUAGCGUAAUGAAUCA
rnacentral:lncRNA from 1 species